ACAAAUGAGGAAAUACAUGUUGGCUCAACAUAAUGGUUGUGUCAAAAAAGAAAAAUAUGUUUGGUCAAUGAUUGCAUGAUUUCUAUGAAUGUACUAAAAAAUGUUCAUCAAGGGAAAAUAAAUAAUUGUGUUGAGAGAACUUUUAACGUUGCACAAAAAAUAUUAUGUUGGCCGAGCAAGAGGGAACAGCGUCAAUCGUCUGAGCAUGCGCAAAGGAGUUCUAGCAGGCUGGAGUUUCCCUCACCACGAGUCACGACAUUGCACUGGUUUGUGCUUAAUUCUUCCGCAUCUACCGUAUUGACCUGAAGUUAGCCAUUCCUGACAUCGCUGGACAAUCACACCCAGGGGUUGCUAAAGAUGUACAGAGCCAAAGCAAGAUAGGGAAGGUGGAACAACUUGGAUGAACUUCUGGAACAACUGGAUGCCCAGACCACAGAUCUAACUACUCAUUGAAGGUCUGCUGUUCUUCGUGGUCUUCCCCUGCACUUGAGAGAGCCAGCUUCAAUUUCAAAGACUAUUAAGGAUACUGAGGCACUGGGGCUACACACAAACGCCAUGAAAAUGGGAAUCCUGGAAGUGACUGACAGUUCUACCAACUCAGGACCAUAUCCCACAGUGGUCAAUGUGGCUGUAGUACUGGAGGAGGAAGUUGUCAUGGACAAUCUGGGAGACUUCACAAAUGCCCUCAUGAUGCUUGUUUUGGCACUGUUUGAAUACCUGUGUAAUAUUUUACUUGAGCCUAACAGGCAAGUUCAUAUGUAUUUAAAUAAAUACGUAAAAUGUUCUUUAUCAAAGCAUAGUGUGUAAUUUAUUUGAAAUAAUGAAAAAUAGACAAUUUUGACCAAGAUUAAAUAUUUAAUACAACAUUUUAUUUCAAUUUGAGUCUGCUUGUUGGCCCAACAAGCUAUGUUUAGUCAACAGAAAAUAUUUAAUUGACACAACAUUCUAUUUCAAGUUCAGUCUACAUGCAGGGGUAGUCAGCACAACACAAAAAAGUUGGUUUCCGCAACUUAAAUUGGGCCAACUAAAAAUUUUAGGUGCAACGGGUCACUAGAAAUUUUUAUGUUGGAGAGGCCUAUUUUUUUUUAC